GAGACACGGUGCCCUUGGCUGCUCAGUAGUCAGUGUAGGAUCUGUCCGACAGUCUCACUAACAGCUACAUCUGAUUACUGGGUCACCAAAGGACCACCACCGCGCUGCAUG